UACGUAGGGUGCGAGCGUUAAUCGGAAUUACUGGGCGUAAAGCGUGCGCAGGCGGUUUUGUAAGCCAGAUGUGAAAUCCCCGGGCUCAACCUGGGAAUGGCAUUUGGGACUGCAAGGCUGGAGUGCGGCAGAGGAGAUUGGAAUUCCUGGUGUAGCAGUGAAAUGCGUAGAUAUCAGGAGGAAUACCGAUGGCGAAGGCAGGUCUCUGGGCUGACACUGACGCUCAUGCACGAAAGCGUGGGGAGCAAACAGG
rnacentral:rRNA from 1 species